rnacentral:lncRNA from 1 species
GUCACACCUGACUGCCUUUAGUGCUGACUCCCAGUAAUCUCUAGCAUGUGGCACUGUCACAGCAGCGCAAGGAGUGUAAGUGGCAGAGCAUUCUCAUCAGCCUCUUUUGAUGAGAAUAUUGGUAUUGGCGCCGCAUGAAUGCUUCUGGCUGACCAGCUGAGGGGCCCUGCCCCGCUGAGCUGGAGCAACAUCUUAUAAGAAACGCAGUGAUUUUAUUGCCAGUGAGGCAGUCUGGUUGCUGCACUGAUUUGUAGUAUAGCUAUGGCUUUAUGCUUUUCUGGCAAAACUUAGCUAAGGGUAAGUAUGAGGUGUCCAGGACAGGUUUUCACUCAGUGCUUUCAGCGGUAGAGAGCUGGGGAAAGUUGAUGUGUGGUGUAUGUGAAGCUUGCCAAUAGCUCGGUGUGCCUAAGGUCUCAUCUAUGCUUGAAUUAAACUAGCGUGGACAGGGAAAUUAAUUUUAGUCUCUUGUUAGGGAUAUAUUUGUUUUGAGAUAAGCCUCGUGCCCCUCAGGGGCCUUUGCCAGCAUAGAGGUACUGUGGACCAGCAAACUGGAUGUUUGGGAUGUUUUCCAGGUUGGCACACCCUGUGAGACUCUGAAUUAUUUUUCCUUGGCAGUUUGGGGCAAAUGAGUGAGAAUUACCUUGUGAUUGCUGAACUUUUACCACCUCGUGCUUUGGACUGAAGAGUUACUAGAACUAAAUCUAUGAGGUUUCCAAGCUAAACAAAACCUGAAUUUCUGGUGCCAAAAAGCAAGCCAGCAAUAGAAACCUCUGAAACCUCUGCUUCUCCUCCAGAAGGGGGGAAACCACAGUCUUUCAAGCUUUCCUGUUAUCCUCAAGAGUUAAAAAGGCAUAAACCUGCGUCAUGAAACCUGCCGAGCUAGCGGUCGGAUGAAACGAGAGCCAAAGCUAGCCGAGAAACUGUUCUCGUGUGCCGUAUUGCUGGAGAGGUUUUUCAGUCAGGAAGACUGAAAUCCUCUCUGGCUGGCUGGUGAAAUGCAGUACUGUUUUUUGGGAAAAACCCACACGAGGGUGCCAGACUGUGCCCUUGUUUGUCCUGAAGGCCAAGGGGCAGCGGGUGGUGGAGAGCCAGUGAAGUCUUCUGUUCUUCGGCUGUUUGCCCCUCUGGGGAGAGCAGCAAGUGAGAACUUGUGUCUCAACCCUUGA